UUACAUCGAUGGUUUUGUACCUGCUUACAUAUGCUUAUAAAAUCCACUUUAAUUUUACUUCUCUUACUUGAAAAACUUGAAAGUCUCCAUUAUGGUACCUCUGCUAUCAAUUAUCUCUAAAUCAUUACUUCUGCUUCAAUCAGCUACCCUUUAUGAUUCACACUAUAUGGCUCAUUUAUCCAUGUUGAAGUCUGAAACUUGCUUCCUUGGAAACUUUUCUUAUCUCUGGAUGUUGUUUGAUGGUCUCAGAUGCAUGCUUAAUCACAUGUGUACUAAACACUGUCAAAUUCUCAAUGUGAUGCUAGGGCAGAGGUUCUCAAACUUGACUACAUAUUAGAAUCAGUUGGGAAUGAACACAAUCUCUGUGGCUGAGCCACAGCCUAAGAGAUUUUAACUUAACUAGCCUGGGCUGAAGCCCAGGUAUAGGUGAUUUUAACUCCCUGCUUUCCCCACCCCCUACCAGAUGAUUCUAAUGCGCAAUCAGGGAGGAGAACUUCCAGGCUGGACCAUACCAGACAAAGAUAGUGUGAGAGAAGGUAGAGCUGUAGUCAUAAGAAACACGGCUGUAGGAGAAGAGCUUCCUCACAGAGUUGGCCUCCACAAGAUAAAGAAAGUCAAUGAUGCACAUCUUACUCCUAGAGAGAGAGACCACCAAGACUGGAAAGAUACUGUGAAGGAUACUGCAAGAGAAUACUUCCCAGAACAAAGGGAAAGGAUACAGGUAAAUCCAUUGCCCAUUUCAGUAGCCUCUCACUCAAUCAUAGAAUACUGGCGAUUAUGUUUUUGUGUUAGAGGUGGAAAAAUUUAGGAAGAGAAAUAGAGAAUUUUGGCUUAUAAUAGAAUUGUGAAAUAUUUUUUAGUUGUACUAUUACUGGCACUGAGCAGAUUCCCAGACAUGCAAAACAUAUUGUAACUAAUAAAAUAUAAAAUUCUGUCUUUACAACAUUCUCUUUAUUGCAUCAGGAUCACAAAAGCACUGUGAUCACUGAGAGAAUGGGUCCUAAUAGCCAAAACAACUAACUUGUCAAAGGCUAUAACAGUAUUAAUUAGAGGAGCUUCCAGAGAUAUUAUCAGUUGUAUUUUAAAUAAAAGGGAAAUGAAGCACACAGGAAUUAAAUAACUUGCCAUGAUACAGAAAAAUGAAGGUGUGAUGUCACCGAGAUAUGUCUAAUUGGA
rnacentral:lncRNA from 1 species